GAUGGCCUCGGUUCCCCUUACCGCCCGGUCCAGCAUAACCCGGGAAGUGCGGGGGGGGUGGAGGGCCGCUGCCCUUGGCCCUCCAGGCGAUAACCCCCCCGCCGGGCCGGCGCGAAAACAGUCUUCUUCGCUGCUUCUCGGAGAGCUCCCAGCAGCUUGGCGCGCUCCGCGGGAGGCGGACGGUGAGAAAAUGGCGGCGGCCUCAGCAGAGGCGGGCGAGCGAGGGGGGACAGACUCCUCAAACACUAGGACGCCCCCAAUCCCGGACACCGUCGUCAAUAUUGCCCGUUGUUGAUCUGCAAGGAUCCCCUCUUCCUGCUGGGACUGCCCGCAGCGGACGAGGUCCCGUUUCGAUCUCGGAUGGAGGCGGAUGAACACGAAAAGUGGUUUAGGGAGCCGCCGCCUCCAUCUUUGAAAUCCUCUUGAGGGCGGAGUAGAGGGGGUGGACAGACUCCGAGGAUUGGGCGGGGCCCGAAAAAGGGGAGCGUCGGGGGCUUCUAUGGGGUCUGCACUGUCCGCCGGGGCCGGUCAUAGGCCGAGACGAAGGCCAUUUCCAAACGGAUGGACGUGGAUUGCAAUGGCGGCCCCCGACGACUCGAAGGCUCUCUAUCAGUAGGCAGAAUCCUCCAGCUCGUUCUAGAGGCUGCUCCACUCCAGCGCGAAAUGGCGCCGCCGAGCCCCGCGCCAGCCCUUUAUAUAUAGGCAGGGAGGAGGAGCUUCGUCGCUCAUGCGCGCCACCGUGCUCGAGAUUUCCCCCACCCCCUCCGCGCGCGCACGCUCGCUCACGCGCGUGAAGAAGC
rnacentral:lncRNA from 1 species